UAAAAGUGGCAAAUUCUACCACUAUUCAAAUCAAUAGUGUUAUGAGUCACAAAAGCAUUAAAAACACUGUUCAUAAGAAUGGGAAAAUCUGAGCCCUCCAUCUCUUCCCUCCAUCAUCUUACUCGCCUCUUGCUAUUUCUCUCUCCUCUUUCUAUGGUUUUUUUUUUGCCAUAUCUAUGGAGUUUUCUGUUUCGAGGUUCUUCUUCUCUCCUUCUGUCUUCUUUAUUCUUCAAUUCACCCUUUUAUUCGACCUAAUUUGCUUCAAUCGUUUCAUUACCGAAUUUCUGACUCUAUCUUUCUUUAUUUCGGAAUUUCAGUCACUCUUAUAAACCCUAAUUGCUCUUAUUAUCAUACUUUGUCUUUAAUCAAUUGCAUUUCACAAGACUUGAUUUGUUUAGACACAAUAACUAAUUGAAGAAUAGAGCGAGAAUCAGAGCAAAUUAGGGUAAUUAGGGUUUAUAAGAGAAUGAAUUACAGAGGUCUGAUUCUCGCUCUAUUCUUCAAUCUGAUUUUUAGCACUACCGGAGAUAUUCUACGAUCAAUCUGAAGUUCGAAAGUACAUUUCUUCCCCUUUUUAAUUUCAAUUAUGAAUAAUAUCUUUAAUUUUUGCUUUAAAUUUGAUUCUAAAUCCUUAGGGUUUCACUAGACUUCUGGAUUGUGUCAGCAAUUUAUAGAUUUAUUAGGCAAAAUGGUGGCAAUUGAGGAACCGAUUGUUGAACCGAUGAACCAACUAGCAAGAGGUUGUUUUUGCUCCGGCAAAAGAAAUUCACGGCGCUGAUGAGGCCAGAGAUAAAGCGAAGAAAUCUAAGGUGAAGAAGUGGAAUUCUACUCAUCCUCCUUACUUUGAGUUAUUAUUGCAGUUUGCGAGAGAAAAUUUCAAGUUAUCUGCAAUUCGCUUCAACCAUUCAAGCAUCAACACGCAACAGAGGAAGUAAGGAACCCUGAUAAAUCAAUAAUCAUCUGAUCCUGUUGGUUAAAUUUUUUGGAGACUGAAAAUAGAAUAUGGAGGAACUCUUGAAAUUUAUGGCACUGGUGAAAAGCAAAUAUUCAAGAAUUAUGUUUCAAUUUUUUGUAUCCUUGUUAAGCAAUGCCAUGAAUUCACACACCGAGUAAAGUCAGUAUCAAUGGCUAAAUUUACACCAUAAGAGAUUGCUUCUCUUCAUGUUGGCGGAAAUGAGCGUGCAAAGGAAAUACACUUUAAAGAUUAGGAUUCUCAAAGGCAAGCUGCUCACGAUAGCAGGGUUUCAUGAUGAAUUUGAUCUGAAAAUCGUGCAUUUUGUGAUCAAAUCAAGGUAGAAAGAUGGACUGGUGGGGAGGAAAAGUGUCGCUUGGAUUGGAUUUUUCAGGCGCAGUGAAUAAGCUUCAAGAUAGUGUUAAGAGGCUAAGAGCAUUGAGAAGAAUUUUGAUAGUGCUCUUGGUUUAGAAGAUAAGCCUCAAUGAAGAAAAUGCGUGAAUAUCCACUCAGUGUCCCCACGAAGGUCGAGGUUACCGGCUCGAUUAUCCGCCGGCCCAACCCGGUUUUGGCCUCCCUGAGUUUUUCUGGAUACUCGGUUCACAUUCUUGACAUCACUGACCGCAUCAUUUACUGAUAGUACUAAAUUGUCGAAGGAAAAGGAGAUUACUACACGAGAUUAUGCCGUUUUUGAUGAAGGAAGUGAUAAUAUUAACCCUAAUUAUAUAAUUUUCCUGGAGUUGCACAUGUUGAGUUUCCUCUUGGUAGUGGAAAGCUAGAUCUUUCAACUAAAUUGGAAGAGAAAGCAAGCAGUUGUUAUUCUAGGACUUUCGACCUCACUCAAAACUUUAAACUGAUAUUUCCUCUAUUUAAAAUUCUACUCCCAUGAAUCACUUACACUCUUCUGAGUUCUUUCUCUCUUUUUUUGCUAGAAUGGGGUUCAAUUUACAACUGUAUGGUAUGAAGUCGAUGCUUCUAUGUUUAGUGAUAGCCACAAACUAAUUUUUGUAAGAGGUUACUAUGAUCAAAAUAGUUGUAUAAAUCUUUCAACGAAUGUAUAUUCAUGAACUUUCGUCUGUC